rnacentral:misc_RNA from 1 species
AACCAUAGAAACCUGCGGAGUACCUGCGGAGGGAUCAUUAACCUUUCAAAAAACAGGGUGCGUCGCGGCCCCCCUCCGGGGGCGGUUUGGGGUCCUCCCCUUCACGCGCGCACGACUGCAUCCUUACUUUACGAGCACCUUCUGUUCUCCCUCGGCGGGGCAACCUGCCGUUGGAACCGAAUAAACCCUUUUUUGCAUCCAGCAUUACCCGUUCCGAAACAAACAAUCGUUACAACUUUC